AGUUUGAAAUCGUGGCGCUUGGUGUAAAAUCCAGAGAAAAAAUAUAUGAAAAACUCGAUUCUCUGGGAGAGGGUUAGGUUUUUGUGUAGGCCUAACACAUGCCCAUGUGGGUAAAACCUGGGAAGUAUAACCACAGAACAUUGAGCCAGAUGUUUCACUGGAUGUUUGCACCUGAAGCAUCCGGUUGGCAUUUCCACUCACCAUGGUUAUGAGAGGAAGCCCAGUGGCGGCAGUGGGAGGAGAUGGAUUUUGGCCGACAUUUAGCAAAUUUUCUCAUUGAUGAAACAUUUGAUCACAGUACAGUUUUCUGUUCCCAAAACUAGAUUAUGUUAUGAACAUAGUGGACUAAGUUUUGUAGACUAUUCUUUGCCAAAGUCCCUGUAUUGCCAGGACUGCGUAGCCUCACAAAGUUCCAACAUCAAGUUUUCUGACGAUACGACACUAGUAGGCCUGAUUACAAACAACAACAAGAAGACCUACAGAGAGGAGGUAGGCACUCUGGCGGUGUGGUGCCAGGAAAAACCACCUUUCCCUAAACGUCAGCAAAACAAAGGAGCUGAUUUUGGACUUCAGGAGGCACCAGGCUGGGCACACCCUCAUCAACAGAGCCGCCGUAGAGACGGCAGAAUGGCCCUGCAGGCCCUCCGUGUUCUACAGGAGCACCAUCAAGAGCAUACUGUCGGGCUGCAUCACAGCCUGGUACGGCAACUCCACCACCGCUGACUGCAAGGCUCUACAGAGGGUGGCACAAUCAGCUAAACCCAUCAAUGGGUGCACACAGCCUGCCCUCUAGGACACCUACAACACCAGGUGUUGCAGUUGCAGGAAGGCCAAGAAGAUCAUCAAAGUCCUCAGCCCCCCGAGACACAGUAUGUUCUCCCCACUUCUAUCACUCAGACUCGGGUAGUAUAGGAGCAUCAUGGCAAAAACUGUGAGACUAGCUAAUAACUUCUACCCCCAGAUCAUCACACUGCUGAAUAGCCACCAUUGGGCAGCUACCUGCCCGCCCCCCCACCCCAGUUGUAAAUAUGUAUAUAUUUGUAUUAUUGUUUUAUACACUUCUCUUAUGGACCUGCACUGUUAGAGCUCAGAGUUUAAGAAUUUCACUGUACCCUGCAAUUAUAUCUGCGACCCUGUGCAUAUGACUAAUAAACAAAUCUAUCUAAAAAUGUCA